AAAGAUUGUGAAUGUCCUGUUGUUAAUGAAAGAGUCAUGCAUUUAUAGUCUGAAAAUCGGGCAUAAAUAAGGUAAUAAAAUAGUUAAGGAACUGAAUAUCAAUUAAGAAUCAAUCACACAAGACUUCCUUUAAUUAAAAAAUUCAGAUUCAAACGGUAAAAGUUAUUUAAGGAAAGAAAUCAAACGCCCACUUUGUGCAAAGUAAGGCAAUUAGGGGUAAGUACAUAGAAGUUUAUUUUAGGAGCGGGGUUUUGAAAUACCCGAUAUCAUAAAUAAGGUAAGAAAAUCAAUUAAUAGCCAGUAAAUCAAGGAUCAAAGAU
rnacentral:lncRNA from 1 species